AACGAACGCUGGCGGCAUGCCUAACACAUGCAAGUCGAACGAGAUCUUCGGGUCUAGUGGCGCAAGGGUGCGUAACGCGUGGGAAUCUGCCCUUUGGUUCGGAAUAACAGUUGGAAACGACUACUAAUACCGGAUGAUGACGACAGUCCAAAGAUUUAUCGCCAGAGGAUGAGCCAGCGUAGGAUUAGCUAGUUGGUGUGGUAAAGGCGCACCAAGGCGACGAUCCUUAGCUGGACUGAGAGGAUGAUCAGCCACACUGGGACUGAGACACGGCCCAUAGUCCUACGGGAGGCAGCGGUGGGGAAUAUUGGACAAUGGUCGAAAACCUGAUCCAGCAAUGCCGCGUGAGUGAUGAAGGCCUUAGGGUUGUAAAGCUCUUUCACACGGGAUGAUAAUGACAGUACCGGGAGAAUAAGCUCCGGCUAACUCCGUGCCAGCCGCCGCCGUAA
rnacentral:rRNA from 1 species